rnacentral:lncRNA from 1 species
CAGCAAAUGAGAACCCCUGAUAACAUGGGUGAGAGGUUCAUUCUUUGACAAUGCCAGUUAUAGAAGAUGCAUUGUUUUGACCACAGGCUCACUUUCAAUACAAUGAGAGAGAAGCUUGCAUGGAGUGUAGAGAUUUCCAAACCACCCUCUCUUCUCCUUAUCUGAAGUACAAGCCAGUGAUUGUCAUUAGCACCGAGCAGAGUGUCAUCAGGCUUAAGUGGCAAGUGAGAUGUUACCUGUGUCAACUUCCCACUUUAUUGAACGCUGGACUUCGUGAAAGUGUUUGGUGGGUGCCGGAGCAUGAGUCUCACUUUCUGUUCCCUCUGGGGUGGAGGUUUGGGGAGAAAUGCCUUUACCACAUUACAACCGUAUAUUUGCAGUUUUUGAUUCUGCAGUUGAUUAAACACUUUCACAUGUACUCAUGUCUCCUCCUAGCUGCACUGCUGUCAUCUCAAUUCUACUGAUGCAGAAAUGGAGACCCUGAGAGGCGGUCACCCUAAAAGUUAGUCACAUGGUAGGAGCCCCCACCAUGAAGUAUAUCCAGGCCUGAGCCCUCCCCAUCAUCCGCUGCUCACUAAUGCUUACUGUCUGAGUCUGCUCAGCUGUUUAACAGUAUUCUGCAGGCUGAGGGGACUUAUAGGCAGUAGAUAUUUAUUUCUUUCAGUUCUGGAAUCCAGAAGUCCAAGAUCAGAGCACCAGCCUGGUUGAGUGAGGGCACUCUUCCAGGUUAAAAACUUUUCAUUGUAUCCUCACAGAGUGGAAGGGGCCAGGGAGC